rnacentral:rRNA from 1 species
GACGAACGCUGGCGGCGCGCCUAACACAUGCAAGUCGAACGGAGAAAGAAACAGCUUGCUGGAUCUUUCUUAGUGGCGGACGGGUGAGUAACACGUGAGCAACCUGCCCUUCAGAGUGGAAUAACGUUUGGAAACGAACGCUAAUACCGCAUAACACCAUUGGAUGGCAUCAUCUGGUGGUACAAAGAUUUAUCGCUGAGGGAUGGGCUCGCGUCCGAUUAGGUAGUUGGUGAGAUAACAGCCCACCAAGCCGACGAUCGGUAGCCGGACUGAGAGGUUGAACGGCCACAUUGGAACUGAGAUACGGUCCAGACUCCUACGGGAGGCAGCAGUGGGGAAUAUUGGGCAAUGGGCGAAAAGGCCUGGACCCAGCGACGCCGCGUGAGGGAAGAAGGUCUU